rnacentral:rRNA from 2 species
GGGUUGUGAGGUUAAGCGACUAAGCGUACACGGUGGAUGCCCUGGCAGUCAGAGGCGAUGAAGGGCGUGCUAAUCUGCGAUAAGCGCCGGUAAGGUGAUAUGAACCGUUAUAACCGGCGAUACCCGAAUGGGGAAACCCAGUGUGACUCGUCACACUAUCAUUAACUGAAUCCAUAGGUUAAUGAGGCGAACCGGGGGAACUGAAACAUCUAAGUACCCCGAGGAAAAGAAAUCAACCGAGAUUCCCCCAGUAGCGGCGAGCGAACGGGGAGGAGCCCAGAGCCUGAAUCAGCAUGUGUGUUAGUGGAAGCGUCUGGAAAGGCGCGCGAUACAGGGUGACAGCCCCGUACACAAAAGCGCAUGUGCUGUGAGCUCGAUGAGUAGGGCGGGACACGUGGUAUCCUGUCUGAAUAUGGGGGGACCAUCCUCCAAGGCUAAAUACUCCUGACUGACCGAUAGUGAACCAGUACCGUGAGGGAAAGGCGAAAAGAACCCCGGCGAGGGGAGUGAAAAAGAACCUGAAACCGUGUACGUACAAGCAGUGGGAGCACCCUUUGGGUGUGACUGCGUACCUUUUGUAUAAUGGGUCAGCGAC